CCUACGGGUGGCUGCAGUAGGGAAUAUUGCACAAUGGGCGCAAGCCUGAUGCAGCCAUGCCGCGUGUGUGAAGAAGGCCUUCGGGUUGUAAAGCACUUUCAGCGGGGAGGAAGGCGGUGAGGUUAAUAACCUCAUCGAUUGACGUUACCCGCAGAAGAAGCACCGGCUAACUCCGUGCCAGCAGCCGCGGUAAUACGGAGGGUGCAAGCGUUAAUCGGAAUUACUGGGCGUAAAGCGCACGCAGGCGGUCUGUCAAGUCGGAUGUGAAAUCCCCAGGCUCAACCUGGGAACUGCAUUCGAAACUGGCAGGCUAGAGUCUUGUAGAGGGGGGUAGAAUUCCAGGUGUAGCGGUGAAAUGCGUAGAGAUCUGGAGGAAUACCGGUGGCGAAGGCGGCCCCCUGGACAAAGACUGACGCUCAGGUGCGAAAGCGUGGGGAGCAAACAGGAUUAGAUACCCCGGUAGUC
rnacentral:rRNA from 1 species